CACCCACGCGGUACAGAUGUUGGUAAUCAAUGGUGUAUGAUUGACUGUGAUAUAGCAAUAAAUGACAGUCAUGUACAAAUCAAACGCAGUCGCGCUUCUUUACUUCGGGGCCCGUUUGUUUUACUUUUCCCCUGUCAAAUCCAAGUUUUAAUUGCUUUUUUAAAGAAGAAUUUUGGUCUGUCUACAAUGAUAUCCACACAUCAUUUUUUACUCCUCACACAGCACUUAUUGAUUUAUAUUAUUUGAUCUUCUUCAAUUCAUUCAAUCCAACCGCCGAAAAUUAAGAGAGUGUGUAAGAAGUAAAAAAUGGUGUGUGGAUAGCACACCCCUAGAACAAAAGGAAAACUAAUGAAAAAUGUUUGAAAACUUUGAAUUUUAACGAUAAAAAACAAAAUAAAGGGUAAAGUGAAUAGUAUCAUGAUUGGUUUUUUAGUGUAAAAAUAUAGUUUUUCAUUAAAAUGAACAGUAUCAGAAACGUUUUGUUAAAGUUCUCUAAAACAAAAGGUCAUUUGGGAUGAGUAACAAUAUGGCAUAUGAUUUUAAAAAUUGGCCAAAUCUUGUUGGUAAAUCUUACAAUGCCCCUCCUUUGUUGAGAGAAAUUUUGGUAUGAUUGACUGUUAAAAUAGUUUUCACUAAGAUUCGGUCAUAAAAUACAAAAGUCACAUCCUUUUACUAGAGACGCAUCAUAAUUCUUACAUAUUAAAACUAUACAGUACCAGACACAAGAUAAAUUUUUCAAAAAAUAAGGUUUUUUUUAUUGAAUAAGCCAAUUCAUUUGGAACCCUACAGAUCCACUCUUUUUUCCUAUUCAAAUAUCAGCUUGUGUUUUCACAUCGAGAAUUCUUUGUGGAUAAAGAGAUAUAGUCAAAGUGUUUCUACGUAAGUCUAUUUUCGUUUUGACUAUAUUGAACUAUCAAGUUAAUAGAUUGUUUGUUUGCAAAAAUACCGUGUCAGUAUUCAAGUGCUGCGAUAAACAGAAGAACCAGCCCUAGCUGUUGAUCCCUAACUUUGGCUUGGGGUCGGUGGCAAUGUCAUUUCCUCUUCCCUCUUCUCGCUCCCCUCUCUUCAGCUGGUUCCCAAUCCCCUCUUGGGUGGUUGCUUCCUGAGUUGUAUCUUAACUUUCCUGAGCUCUAUCCCAGAUUGAAUAUAAUAUCUUCUUUUCUAUUUUAAAUUUUGUUUUGUUAUUAGCAAUCCAAACUCGACUUGUUCAUUUUUAAAGUCAUUUUUUCUUCUUACUCAACUGUCCACCAUUGAGUUUUAUUAUUUAGCAAGUGAAUAUUUGUUUUUUAAAUUCAGAGAGUAAUUGUUCAUUUUGUUAUGAAUAAAAUCUUUGACAACAUUUUUUUUAACUGUUUAAAAUAGAAAUUUUCUUCAAUGGUCUGGUGUCUAGACUACUGAAUAGCACAAAAAAUAAAAUGUCGUUAUUCAGUUGAUGAAAUUUUUUUUUUCUUUUCACUACGGAUUUAAUAGAUAAAAUUUUUAAAUACUUAAUAAUUCGGACCACUAAAAUGAACCGUGUUUUUCACAGAGGACUUAAAAAGUCCACACGAGGACUAAGUUACGGUUGAAAUGCAUCCGCCAGAAUCCUUUGUUUUCUAGUUUGCAACGAGGACAUACGCUAGGGUGGAAGUGCACACAAGAAAACACAACCCUUUGUUUCCAUAUGCGUAGCACGAGAACAAGACAAAGCAUAAAAAGCAACACCAAUUUACCUUUCAAUCCCCUCACCUCACCGUGUUACGAACAUUGAACGGUCCACGUUAAUCCAUUUUUCCUAGUGGACAUGAUGUUUAUUCAACGUAAAACGUGCAUUUGUCAAACCCUAUCAAAUAAUAUCCCCUUUGGAUUAUCCCUAAACCGUUCUCAUCUGUAGAUAUUUAUUUCUGAGAGAGGUUUCUAGCGUCCAAGAAAAACAUAUCUUCAGUGACACGCUCAAGUUAGAUGUAUAUAUAUUUUCAACGACAGAUAAAUAUCCAAAUGAUUAUGUUUAAGAUCAUGAUAAUCAUGUAACGCUGUGUGCAAAAUUUAAAAUGAAUAUCUUCAUAUGAUUUGCUUUGGUAAUUAUGUUUGACAUUAUGUGGUGUGGGAAGAUGCAUGCUUCUGGAAGCGUUAUGUCAUUUUCCAUACAACACAUUUAUACUGCAGUGAUAAAUUGAAUCCGACACCGCCAUCAGACUGACUCGCGGCAGAAACUUAUCAUUUUCAAUGAAGAGGCAAUCAAUCAGGCGGCAAUGCAUAUAAUAUUCCCACAGCUUUUGCUUAAUCGGAAAAAUACCACGCCCUUGUUUCACACAAGGUAGCAACUUAUAAUUAAGUUUCAGAAAUGCUUUUAACUAAAAGAAAACGAAUGGAAAUGAUUUGAAAAUUUUGAGUUUUAUCGAUGAAGAUAAAAUAAAGGAUAAAAUGAAUAGUACAAUGAUUGACUUUCUAGUGUAAAAAUACGGUUUUUCGUUAAAAUGAACAGUACCAGAAGCUUUUCGUUAAAGUUACCUAAAAAAUAAUUGAAAGCAUUUUUACAAGAUUAAUUAUGCUUUUUUUUUAUUAGAAAAUACUUCAAGCAUUUUUUCUAAAUUUACGAAUAUUUUAUUAAGAAUUAGUUUCGAAAAAUAUUUUUACCUAAAUAUUUUCACUUAUUUUAAAAAGGCUUCCAAACAAACUAUCAACUUCCAGGUAAAUAAAAUAUUUACUUUUUUAUAUUAAUUUUUAAUUUUAUGGUUUUGAUUAAGUAUUUAAACAAUUUGGUUAUUCAAUUAAUAAUUAAUCAUCAAGUUGAGCAUCUUAGUAGACCUCGAUAAAAACCACUUGCAAAAGUUGUUUGAGUUUGUGUAAGACUCAAGGGCAUCUAUGUGUUCCAAAUUACAAUUAUUCAAUUAUUGUAUUGAGCUACAAGAUCUACUUGUGACAUUGCUUUGCUUCCACAACAAUUAUAGCAUCAUCAUCCUCCUUUUAUUUUGUUUAAUUUCCAAUUAUCAAAUUCCUCACAAUCCCCCCAAUGUCAAACUAUUAAACUUUACACUGUAGUGGUAGAUAUUUAACGAGAAGAGGUCUCGAGUUCGAUCAUACAAAUUUGAAAACGAUAUACAUUUAUAAUGAAUUCAAUACACAGUUAUUGUUGACCAUGAGUUCGUUAUUAGUUUAACGCAUGUUGAAUAGUAAUCUAGUGAUUAACAAUAGAGAUUAACAGUAAAAAUGGAGAUGAGAAAGGAUAAUUUGGGGAUUAGAUCCCAUCCGGAUCCACUUUGUGGAGAUCCUAGGGAUUACCACAUUUUAACCAUUUAUCAUGUAUCGUGCGGUCAUAAAUUACUUGACUUUUUUUUAUUUAAAAUUAAACACAAAUAGCAUCUGACGAAAAUUGAUCGCACGAUAUACGAUAAACGGUUAGGAUGUGGAAAUCCCUAAGAUCCUGAUAAAAUGACUCCGUAGAAGAUCCUCUUCCGCUAAUUUGGACCUAUUGUCGCUAAAAGUGAUUAAGUGAAGAUUAAAAAGUUUUUACCCUCUAAUGUGGGCCCUCCCUUUGAUGACUCGCAUUCAAAACGUGAAUACAAAACCUUGAUAAUAUGAGGACCAGAACCGAAGGACUGAAAAGAGAUUUAAUAUACGAAGUUUUAACGAAAAGUUUGCGGUAUUGUUCACUUUAAUGAAAAAUUAUAUUUUUACACUAAAAAGUUAAUCAUGGUACUAUUCACUUUACCUUGAAAAAUCAUAUUUUUACACUAAAAAGUCAAUUAUGGUACUAUUCACUUUACCUUUUAUUUUAUCCUUAUCGUUAAAACUCAAAGUUUUCAAGCUAUUUUAAUUAGUUUUCCUUUUAAUAUAAGGUACAUAUCAUUAAAGGAUUUAACUUUGCUGUUGCUUACACCUAAUUCAGGCUGAACACGUGUUCAAAUUUUGAUUUAAAAAAUUAAAAUUUAAACAUGUGUCCAGCCAAAAUUAAGUGUAAGCAGCAACUGCUGCUGAAUUUGCAACAGCCAAGUCCAGUUCGUCAUUAAAAUCCUCAAUUUGGUAGCAAACUCCGGCAAAUUAUACAUCCACAUAUUAUCUUAAUUUUGGAAAAACCAAGACGAGGAUAUGUAUUGCAUAGUACCAAACGAAACGCAAUCCCCCCCACGUGCAGCACAACCAAGCACCUAAAUUUGCGGAUAUAAGCACAAAGGACGAAAGCCAUAUUAAACUAAAGAGAAAUCCAGCUUGAGAAUACUUUUAAUUAAUUGAGUUAUAAAUUUUUUAAGUAUUUCAAUAUAAGAUAAUAAAGUCUUUCUCUGUUAUUUUAUUUAUGGAUUACGUUCGAGUUAAACCAGUUAGCCAUUAGUUUAAGAGUGCUAUAUUUACUAUUAUUUGUGUUAUUUUUUAAUAGAGGCAAAUAUCUACCAACACAUGAGUAAUAUUUUUGCUAGUUUAAUGGUGUUUGUCCCCACAUUGUUGAAGGCUGUCUCAAGUUAGCAAAGAUGAUAUAUAUUUACGAUGAGUUUGAUACGUAAUUAUGGAUAGUCUCGUUACAAUUGUGUCGCCUUAUUGUAGCACUGCUUGUACCAUUUUAAAAGUGUGAGUAAAUAUCUUAUCGUAUGUAAAAAGAGAAGUGAAUGAAGUGUAAUAAAAUUAUCAAAACUAAUUUCAUGACACAAUCUGGUAAGGGAAAGAUGAUUAACACAAAGCUUCGUGUGACGUUCUUAACAACUCGAGCAACAUACUCCAUGCGACAAUCAGAACCGUUUAGGUUAUAAAUUGUUUUUUAUAGUCAAUACCAUACCAAAUGCCAGCUACCACUCCUUCCACCACACCCCAAAACCCACAUGGGCUACAUCGAAGUGGAAGGUUAGAAAACUAACCAGAUAUUUUCAACCAAUUUUUUUCUUUAAUAACGCCAAAUUAAUCAACAGUCUGGAAAAUGAACAAAGAUUAAUCAUUGUGUUUAAAAAUCAAACGGUUGAAGAUUGUUCAAAAUACCUGGUAGGCUGGAUUGUCGAAAACAAAUAUUUUCAUCACCAAAUUUGCAUGGAAAAUGGUUAGAACUCCGCAAUUUCUUCUUACAUAUAAAUCACAGUUACGUACUAACUGCGAAUUAAUCUGAGCCAUACAAGCUCUAACACUGCUGCAAAUAGGAUUUUACCAAAUACCCUCAAAUCGCAGAAAAUGAAGUCUUCCCACAAUGUUAUUUGGUAACACUAUGGUGGAACCAGAUGACGUCACAAAGGGCAAAUAUGUGAACAAAUAGUACAAACACAAAGCAGCAGCAGAGUAGUGAGCAGAUCUACGUUACAUCCAUUAGACCCCAACCCACCCCCAAAAUUAACCAAAAUUAAAAAAACCACCCAAUCCCAGAAAAUAAUUAAAUUUUUCCCCCUCACUUCUCGCUCCCUCUAGUAAUCAUGCCCUUGUACCUUAUGAUCGAAUCCAACCGCUGCAACUUCAGUUGGUUCUUGAACUUGUUGAUGAAAUCAUCCGCCUUCGCAUCCACCUCAUCGUCGUCCUCCGCCGCCUUCGCCACCUUCCUCUCCCUCAUCGUCGCCGGCCGGCGAAUCUCGGCGACAUCAUCCUCUUGAAAGUGAGCGAAAGCAGACUUGGAGCUCGCAGACUUCUUCAUCUUCUUCGGGAGCUUGGCGGGCACCUCGCCGGACGCCGGCUUGGUGUCCGACUUGGUCCGGCUCACAUGGUGGUCCUGCAACGGCUUCAGCUGACUGAAAACCUCCUCCAGACUGCUCUGUGUAUCACCUGCUUCUGAAAAAUCUGGAGUUUCUGGUUCUGGGUGUUCGUGUUCUUCAAAAAGGUCGUCAUCUGGGAACUCGUCGUGCUCCGGAGCUUGCUCGAAGUUGGAUUCCGGCUCAUGGGUUUUGUGCGGAGGGGCAGCGGCGGCGGGGGGCUGAGAUGGGUAGAAAUUGAUGGACUUGAGCCGCUGCAGCAGAGAAGGGGAUCUGGUCAAUGGGGGCUGUUCGAGCUCGUGGGUGUGCUUAAAAGCGUAAUGGGUAGCCUCAGUAGUUUCUGGGUGUUGCUCGAAAGUGCCGGCGUGUGGCUCCGGGGAUCUGUACUGGUAGAGGUUGAUGGAUUUGAGCCUCUGCAGCAUAGAUGGAGAUCUGGCGAGGCCUCCGCCUUGGUGGUUGUUCUGGUGCUGCUGCGGGUCCUGCUGUUUCUGGGUGGAGCCCAAGUUUGAAGCAAUGGCGAUGGUGCCAAUCAUGACAUUGAG
rnacentral:lncRNA from 1 species